CAGCUAUGCUCUUCUCCUGUUCUUCGCAGCCCUAACUUUGAAAAUAAGUUUCUCGUCCAGGUAGAUGCUUCAGCUGUGGGAGUCGGAGCAGUCCUCGCUCAAGGAGAAGAAGGAGCUGAGCAGCCCAUCCUAUACCUCAGCAGAAAACUACUGCCCAGGGAAACGAGGUAUUCUGCAGUGGAGAAGGAGGGGUUAGCCAUCAAGUGGGCCCUGGAAAGCCUGCGCUAUUAUCUCCUUGGAAGAGAUUUUGAUUUGGAGACUGAUCAUCGUGCCCUCACCUGGAUACAUUCAAUGAAGGACCACAAUAAUCGACUGACCCGUUGGUAUCUCGCACUUCAACCAUUCAAGUUUACCAUCAGACAUCGGCCCGGAAGGACCAACGUGGUGGCUGACUAUCUCUCACGGUUGCCACACAGUGUCAACCUGGAAGAGGAGGAAGGUGAUGUGACGGAGCGCCUAUAGAUGCAGUCACCUGCGCACACGCACACACAAACACAAGCAUACACACGCAGUUUUUCCACACAUAUUAACCUCUCACCGCAUUUUCAGACGCUGUGUCACGAGGCAGGCGCUCCUUGGGUGGGUUGUGUUGAGGGUGCACACUCAAUGCGCUUUACCGGGAGCCGUUAAGGACCGCGAGUUUCAAACGGAGGCGACACCUGAUCAGCUGUGUUAAGACGCGACCGGCAGCAGUGGGCGGAAAUGACGUCAUCACACAAAUGGGGGGGGAAACAAAUUAUUCAUGUGGCAGAAUUUGCCAGAAUGACAAGCAAAGGACUAAUCAGAGGAAUAUGCAGAAUCCAGCCUAAUGGGAGGGGCUUAGCGUAUAUAAGAGGGAGAGGUUAGUUGCCGCGGGCGGGCAAUGAGGGAAGACAUGGAUGUGCUCCUCUCCUGUGUAACUAUGUAAAAUUUCACUGAGGAUUAUUGCACUUGGGAGAAUUGUGGAGAAAAAUAAACCAGUUGCAAUUGGAA